GAUGAACGCUGGCGGCGUGCCUAAUACAUGCAAGUCGAGCGAACAGAUGAGGAGCUUGCUCCUCUGACGUUAACGGCGGACGGGUGAGUAACACGUGGAUAACCUACCUAUAAGACUGGGAUAACUUCGGGAAACCGGAGCUAAUACCGGAUAAUAUAUUGAACCGCAUGGUUCAAUAGUGAAAGACGGUUUUGCUGUCACUUAUAGAUGGAUCCGCGCCGCAUUAGCUAGUUGGUAAGGUAACGGCUUACCAAGGCAACGAUGCGUAGCCGACCUGAGAGGGUGAUCGGCCACACUGGAACUGAGACACGGUCCAGACUCCUACGGGAGGCAGCAGUAGGGAAUCUUCCGCAAUGGGCGAAAGCCUGACGGAGCAACGCCGCGUGAGUGAUGAAGGUCUUCGGAUCGUAAAACUCUGUUAUUAGGGAAGAACAAAUGUGUAAGUAACUAUGCACGUCUUGACGGUACCUAAUCAGAAAGCCACGGCUAACUACGUG
rnacentral:rRNA from 1 species